ACCGAUGGCGAAGGCAGCCUCCUGGGACAACACUGACGCUCAUGCUGCGAAAGCGGUAAGGGCAAACAGGAUUGAAAUGCCCUGGUAGUCCACGCCCUAAACGAUGUCAACUAGCUGUUGGGGCCUUCGGGCCUUGGUAGCGCAGCUAACGCGUGAAGUUGACCGCCUGGGAGUACGGUCACAAGAUUAAAACUCAAAGAAAUUGACGGGGACCCGCACAAGCGGUGGAUGAUGUGGAUUAAUUCGAUGCAACGCGAAAAACCUACCCUUGACAUGUCUGGAAUCCCGAAGAGAUUUGGGGAGUGCUCGCAAGAGAGAACCCGGAACACAGGUGCUACGCCAGCUGUCGUCAGCUCGUGUCGUGAGAUGUUGGGUUCAGUCCCGCAACGAAGCGCAACCCUUGUCAUUAGUUGCUACGAAAGGGCACUCUAAUGAGACUGCCGGUGACAAACCGGAGGGGAAGGUGGGGAUGACGUCAAGUCCUCAUGGCCCUUAUGGGUAGGAACUACGUCAUACAAUGGUCGGGACAGAGGGUCGCCAACCCGCGAGGGGGAGCCAAUCCCAGAAACCCGAUCGUAGUCCGGAUCGCAGUCUGCAACUCGACUGCGUGAAGUCAGAAUCGCUAGUAAUCGCGGAUCAGCAUGUCGCGGUGAAUACGUUCCCGGGUCUUGUACACACCGCCCGUCACACCAUGAGGUGGGUUUUACCAGAAGUAGUUAGCUAACCGUAAGGAGGGCGAUUACCACGGUAAAGUUCAUGACUGGGGUGAAGUCGUAACAAGGUAA
rnacentral:misc_RNA from 1 species